rnacentral:lncRNA from 1 species
CGGAGCUCCACCAUUCUAAGGAAAACGUUUGAAUGCAUAUAUCUUUCUUAUUAUUUUAUUGGUUCAUAUUUACAUAAAGAAUGUUUUAGCUAUCAAAACUUGAAGCAGAAACGUUAUAUAGCAACAUAAUAGUUCAUCAAAGUUUCCAUCAAGCAACUUGUUAUUUUGCAAAUGUCGGAGCACCGCUUGACAGUCUCCCGAA